rnacentral:rRNA from 1 species
CCUACGGGAGGCAGCAGUGAGGAAUAUUGGUCAAUGGGCGAGAGCCUGAACCAGCCAAGUCGCGUGAGGGAGUACUGCCCUAUGGGUUGUAAACCUCUUUUGUCGGGGAGCAAAAGCCGGACGUGUCCGGCUGUGAGAGUACCCGAAGAAAAAGCAUCGGCUAACUCCGGGCCAGCAGCCGCGGUAAUACGGAGGAUGCGAGCGUUAUCCGGAUUUAUUGGGUUUAAAGGGUGCGCAGGCGGAUUUUUAAGUCAGCGGUAAAAUCGUGGGGCUCAACCCCAUCCAGCCGUUGAAACUGGGGAUCUAGAGUGUGCGAGAGGGAUGCGGAAUGCGUGGUGUAGCGGUGAAAUGCAUAGAUAUCACGCAGAACCCCGAUUGCGAAGGCAGCAUACCGGUGCACAACUGACGCUCAGGCACGAAAGCGUGGGUAUCGAACAGGAUUAGAUACCCUAGUAGUC